GGGCCCGUAGCUCAUUGGUAGAGCAGUCGGCUCAUAACUGACUGGUAGUUGGUUCGAUACCAACCGGGCCCACCA
rnacentral:tRNA from 5 species